rnacentral:snRNA from 1 species
AGACGUGCAGGACACACCGAUCUAUAUCGUUUAAUAUUUCUAACAUUAUUUUGUGAGCCAGGCUGCAGUGCACCUGGUUAAGAAUUUUAAGAUGCCGGUUGAGGGUCUGUGAGUAGCUGUGCUCCCCUGUUAGAACCUCCAAACAAGCGCUCAAGGUCCAUCUGUAGGAGAAUGUGAGGCAGUCAGGCUUCCAACAAACACAUCCAUUAAAUGCAUGCAUGUGGCCCUCUGCCUUUGUUU